rnacentral:rRNA from 1 species
AUUGAACGCUGGCGGCAUGCUUUACUCAUGCAAGUCGAACGGCAGCGCGGGCUUCGGCCUGGCGGCGAGUGGCGAACGGGUGAGUAAUACAUCGGAACGUGCCCAGUAGUGGGGGAUAGCUCGGCGAAAGCCGGAUUAAUACCGCAUACGACCUGAGGGUGAAAGCGGGGGAUCUUCGGACCUCGCGCUAUUGGAGCGGCCGAUGGCAGAUUAGCUAGUUGGUGGGGUAAAGGCCUACCAAGGCGACGAUCUGUAGCUGGUCUGAGAGGACGACCAGCCACACUGGGACUGAGACACGGCCCAGACUCCUACGGGAGGCAGCAGUGGGGAAUUUUGGACAAUGGGCGAAAGCCUGAUCCAGCAAUGCCGCGUGUGUGAUGAAGGCCUUCGGGUUGUAAAGCACUUUUGGCGGGAACGAAAAUGACUGUGCCAAUACCACGGUUCGAUGACGGUACCCGCAGAAUAAGCACCGGCUAACUACGUG